CACGGGGGGGAGCAAGCGUUGUUCGGAAUUACUGGGCGUAAAGGGUGUCUGGGCGGUCGAGUAAGUGAGAUGUGAAAUGCCCCCGGCUCACCCGGGGACCUGCAUUUCAUACUGCUCGGCUCGAGUACGGGAGAGGAUGAGGGAAUUCCUGGUGUAGCGGUGAAAUGCGUAGAUAUCAGGAGGAACACCGGUGGCGAAAGCGCUCAUCUGGCCCGAUACUGACGCUGAAGCACGAAAGCUAGGGGAGCAAACGGG
rnacentral:rRNA from 1 species